AACACAGCUGAUUAAAAUCAUUACAUUUUCUCUAGUAGAGAGUAUAACAAACCAUUUUUUUUAUUGGGUCAUUUUGCCCAUAAAGAACGUUCUCCAAAAGUAUUUAUUAUGAAAGAAAAUGUUAUGGUUCCUCUUUAUGGUUUUCAGUUCUCUGUUUGUGGAGGCACCUGACCCUUUGUUUAGAGUCAAUCUAGCUAUAUGAACCUGAUUCAGGAAAAGUUAAUGUUCCUGUAAAACAGUUCUUUAACGUGACCUCCACUGUCAACUUAAGUUGGGCUCUCAGGAGAAACUACUGCUGCUGAGAUAAAAGGUGUUAGUGUGCCAUUCUUUGGGAGCUGUUGGCUUUAUCUGUACAGAGUCACAGUGUUUGGAUCAUAUGGUGCUUGUUCAUAGUUUGGCCAGGGCAAAGUUAGUUAUGUUUUUUGUGUCAACUGUAUUUUGUGAAGAGGAAAGGAAGUAGUGAGUAGGAAGAGGAAGUUAGAGUUUAACAGAAUCUUUAAAGCUGAUGGUGCUAGAAUAUAUCUUUCCGUAUAGAGAGGAGAAAUUUAGGUGUUUUCUAAGAAAACCUAACUAGAGUUUUGCUCAGAGGUUUUUAGCCCAUUCUAAACUAGAACAUUGUUUGCGAAUCUUGAUUUUUUUAGUACUUCAGGUUUGCAAGUACCCAUGCACAUGUUGGUUGUAAGACAGUAGAGUUCAAGACUCUUGUUUGCAAAGCAGUACCACAUACAUAGGCUUUAAGCUGCCAUUUCGUUAGUUGAAUAAUACAGACACCUCACUGUGCCUCUUACCGGUUUAUGUGGUAUCUCAAAAGGGUUAGUAGUGAUCUCCAGACACAAUUUCAUAUUCUAAAAUCAAGCUGCCAGGGAAGUUUGUUGAAAAAGGUCUUAGAUUCUGCCAGGCCAUGUACAUGUAUUUGGAUGUGGCUUUCUUCAGAGAUGGAUGUUUCAAAACCAUGUUCUCCUGAGAAACACAAGCAGUGGACCAUCUCAUCUAGGGGAGAAGAAAUAAUAUAAAUCUAGCCAUAAACAAAGCAGAACAAGAGUUGUGUGAAGAUGCUGAAGUGAUAAAAUAGGUACAAGAGGGAUGGUAAGCGAUGCUGAGAUGCUGAGAAAGCAAACCUACUUUUGCUUGACAUCCUUAAAAAAGAAAUGUGGAAAUGAUAUUUUCUCUUCCUAUGAAGAUCUUGAUUGAGUCUUCCAUAGUCCAUGUAGUCAUCUCUCUUUACUGUGAACUGUAAACAAGAAGCUUUCAAGACCUUAGAAAAGACCAGGACAAUGGGAAGCAAAAAGAAGAAAUGGGCACAGAUCUCCAAAACUAUUAUCAAAAGCUGUGCAAGGUCAGCGAGAAAAAUUUUGGGAAGAAUACAGUAAUGAAAACAACAGAAACACUGCCUGGACAACUACUUCCAAGGUGGACAGAAAUGUGAAAAUACAAGAAAUGACUGAAGGAAGAUGCAUUUGAGAAUCAGCUGCACCAAAUAAUAUAGUUGAGAGGGAAUAGAGAAUGAGGAUGUUCUGAGAGGAUAUCAUGAAACUACAGGAGACGGUGUGCUGCAGAGACACGUUUACUGCAUGUCUACUGAAUGUCUUGUCCUUUUGAAAAUAGUGCAAGUACUGCAGGCUUCAUGCUCUGCUGAAUGCUAAUAGAUACCAGAGGGAACUGAUUUUUGUAUCUUUAAAUAUUGCACUAGCAGACAUCUGCUUCCUUUUUACACUGAUUGUGCUGUUGUAUAUGCUUCUGUUUAAGGUACAUUAAUUUUCUUACUAACCUGCUGCUUUCCACAGAAUGAAAACAAUAUACUAGUUUUUGUAGUACAUAAACUACUGUAGUAGUUGUAGUAAAUAAACUCUUUGUAAGCUU